AGAGUUUGAUCCUGGCUCAGGAUGAACGCUGGCGGCGUGCCUAACACAUGCAAGUCGAACGUUAGGGGGUAGCAAUACUCCUGAAAGUGGCGAACGGGUGAGUAACACGUGGGUAAUCUGCCGCGCAGAGGGGGAUAACGACUGGAAACGGUCGCUAACACCGCAUGGUACUAUCUGAACGGGAGUUUGGAUGGUUAAAACCUGGGUAACACCAUGAUGCUGCGCGAGGAGCCCGCGUCCGAUUAGUUAGUUGGUGAGGUAAAGGCUCACCAAGGCGAUGAUCGGUAGCUGGUCUGAGAGGAUGAUCAGUCACACGGGAACUGAGACACGGUCCCGACUCCUACGGGGGGCAGCAGUGAGGAAUAUUGCACAAUGGACGCAAGUCUGAUGCAGCAACGCCGCGUGGAGGAUGAAGGUUUUCGGAUCGUAAACUCCUUUUCUCAGGGAAGAGAACGGACGGUACCUGAGGAAUAAGUCACGGCUAACUACGUGCCAGCAGCCGCGGUAAUACGUAGGUGGCGAGCGUUAUCCGGAAUUACUGGGCGUAAAGCGCACGCAGGUGGUUUUUUAAGUUUGACGUGAAAGCUCCUGGCUUAACUGGGAGAGGUCGUUGAAUACUGGGAAACUUGAGGCAAUGAGAGGGAUGUAGAAUUCACGGUGUAGUGGUGGAAUGCGUAGAUAUCGUGAGGAAUACCAGUGGCGAAAGCGGCAUCCUGGCAUUAGCCUGACACUCAUGUGCGAAAGCGUGGGGAGCGAACGGGAUUAGAUACCCCGGUAGUCCACGCCGUAAACGAUGAACACUAGGUGUAGGUGGUGUGAAAACCGUCUGUGCCGAAGCUAACGCGUUAAGUGUCC
rnacentral:rRNA from 1 species